rnacentral:rRNA from 1 species
UGAGCCCUACGGGGGGCAGCAGUGGGGAAUAUUGCACAAUGGGGGAAACCCUGAUGCAGCAACGCCGCGUGAGUGAAGACGGUUUUCGGAUUGUAAACUUCUGUUCUUAGUGAAGAAGAAUGACGGUAGAUAAGGAGCAAGCCACGGCUAACUACGUGCAAGCAGCCGCGGUAAUACGUAGGUGGCAAGCGUUGUCCGGAAUUAGUGGGUGUGAAGUGAGCGAAGGCGGGAAGCCAA